GACUACUGGGGUAUCUAAUCCCAUUCGCUCCCCUAGCUUUCGUCCCUGAGUGUCAGUUGCGGCCUAGCAGAGCGCUUUCGCCACUGGUGUUCUUCCCAAUCUCUACGCAUUUCACCGCUACACUGGGAAUUCCCUCUGCCCCCACCGCACUCUAGCUGUGCAGUUUCCACUGCCUGUCCAAAGUUAAGCCUUGACCUUUGACAGCAGACUUGCACUGCCACCUGCGGACGCUUUACGCCCAAUCAUUCCGGAUAACGCUUGCAUCCUCCGUAUUACCGCGGCUGCUGGCACGGAGUUAGCCGAUGCUGAUUCCUCAGGUACCGUCACUUUCUUCUUCCCUGAGAAAAGAGGUUUACGACCCAAGAGCCUUCCUCCCUCACGCGGUAUUGCUCCGUCAGGCUUUCGCCCAUUGCGGAAAAUUCCCCACUGCUGCCUCCCGUAGGAGUCUGGGCCGUGUCUCAGUCCCAGUGUGACUGGUCAUCCUCUCAGACCAGUUACUGAUCGACGCCUUGGUAGGCUCUUACCCCACCAACUAACUAAUCAGACGCGAGCUCAUCUCUAGGCAAUUUCUCUUUCACCCUCAGGCUUAUUCGGUAUUAGCCACCGUUUCCAGUGGUUGUCCCCAACCUAAAGCUAGAUUCUCACGCGUUACUCACCCGUCCG
rnacentral:rRNA from 1 species